UUUAUACACUGAGGUAUUUAUUCUGUAAUCCUUACAUUAAAUAGAUUUUUAAGGCCAAAAGAGAUCAUUACGGAUUGUUUAUGAGAAUAGUUCCUAUUGAAAUCAAUGGGAGUACUUGUGGAUUAAAAUAUUUCUUAUCUGAGUAAGAGUAGUUGAACUGGGUCUAUGGUGAUAGCACACCUAAUAAUGGUAUACUGUCUUGUGUAUUUUAUAUCUGCAGGUAUCCAUUUACUUCCCUGAUCAGAGGCUACAGAAGAUGUUUUCAUUCUGGGUGGCCUUGAUUGUUACAUGAGAGAGACAAGAUGGGUGAGGAUCCUUGCAAACAUGAUUUCUCUCUCUCUCGGUCUUCCCAGCCCCAAUAAGGCUAUUCCACCUGCAUACUAGAUGGGACAACAUGCAGAGCUGUGGCCCAGAAACAGCUUCACAUGGUGACAUGGUGGUUCCCCAUUCUCCAUAAAUUUUCACAUGAAGAUGAGUGUAUGACCCUGUUUGUUUUUUCUUCCACAUGCUAAUCUAUCUCUGUUUGAUAUUAUUUAUUUAUUUGUUUGUUUGUUUGUUUGUUUUACCAUAGCACCUAGGAGCCCUUGGCAUGGACUACCACCCAACUCUGCUAGGUACUGCCCCAAAAAGUUUACAAUCUAAGAUUAAAACAAGAGACUACAGAUGGAAACAACAGCUAGAUAGGGGAUUACAAGGAAACAAUUAAAAUGAUAUUGGUCAGGAUGAUAGACAACAGCCUAGAUACAUUGCCAAGCUUUUUGUAGGCAUCACAGCAAAGGAAGAUUUUGAAGGAGGAUAAUGAGGUAGCUUUAUAGAUGUUUAAGAUGCUUGUUUGAAAAUUUAACAAGUGGACAAAGGAAGAAAGAGCUGACAUCUUGAAAGUGAAUGAGAGAUGAUAUUUUGGGUGGGCCUUGAAAGUGAAGAUGAGAAGCUUGUGUUUGAUGUGAUAGAGAAGUGGGAGCCAGUAGAGGGAAGCCCAGACAGGGGGGACAUAGUCAAAGCAAUAGGCUUGUAAAAUGACUAUUGCAGAAGCAUUCUGAAUGGAUAUGACCAGGGUAAGAUUGCUUUUAUCAAGGCCAGAGAAAAGGAUGUUGUAGUAUUGGAGAUGCAAGAUGAUCAGAGCCUGGGCAAGGAUUUUAGGUGUGUGGCUGGAUAGGAUAUCCAUUUUAGGGAUAUUAUGCAGUGAGAAUUGGCAAGACUUAGACAUAAGUCUGGAUGUGAAGACCUAGAGAGAGGUCCAAAUCAAUGAUGACAUCCAGGUUAUGGGCCUGAGAGGCAGGUUGGUGGUAUUGCCAUAGUGAUCUAGAAAAGAGGGGAGUAGAGGGGAGGGAUUGAGGGGAAGAUUGAGAGCUCUAUUUUAGAUAUGUUGACCAUGAGUUGACAGCUAGACAUCCAUAAAGAGAUGUUAGAGAGACAGAUUGAGACUUCAGUUUAGACAGGAGGCAGCUCUGGAGAAGAGAAGUAUAUCUCUAGGUCAUCAGCAUAGAGAUGGUAGUUAAAUUUGUGUUUGUGGAUGAGAUUAUCCAGAGUGAGGGUGUAAAGGGGUAAGAGAAAGGGACCAAGGAUAGAAUCCAGUAGACCUUCCCCCAAGAAAGUUGGAGGGGGAUGAGGAUGAUCUGCUGAAGGAAUGAUUAGAGAGGCAGGAGGAGAACCAGGAAAGGACAGAGUCAUGGCAGCUAAGGGAGGACAAGAAGAACAUGGUCAACUGUGUCAAAAGUAGCUGACAGAUCAAGGAGGUUGAGGAUGGAGUACUGGUUCUGAUCUGUGACUAGGAGAAGGUCAUUAAAGACUUUGGUGAGAGUGAUAUGAGUGUACUGCAAGGGGCAGAAGCUGGAUUUGAUAGGAUUUAGGCUGGAAAUGAAAAGAAGGACUCCAGAAAGGUAUUGUGGAGAGUUUGUUCAAUGAGUUUAGAGAUGAAAGAGAGAAGGGAGAUGAGGCAGAGAAGGUAGAGACUAGUGAGCUCCAGGGUGGGAAGGGUUAAAAUGGGAGACAGCAUGCUUGUUUUAUGAUCUGAGGAAAAAGUCAGAAGAGAGUGAGAGGUUAAGGAGAAGAGUAAGGGAGGGGAUCAGAGUAGGUGCAAGGGAGAUCAGGGGAUGCAACGGCAUCACUGGGACAAGUGGGGUAUAUUUGCAAUAGCUUCUAAUGAAGCCUGGGUUAAUCCAUUUCUACACUAAUUGCAUUUGUAUAAAGAAAUUUCUCACUCUUUUAAGACCCAGUCUUUUGUUAGCUUAGUUUGAAUCAUUUUAUUUUUAGCUUGUUACCCUUUCGAACAGCUUUUUGGCAUCCAUCUUUUCUAUUCCCCUCAGAGUUUUACAUAGCAUAUUCACUUCCCCUCCUAAUUGCUUCAUGUAUAAAGAAUGGAGAUUUUUUUUCUUACUCUAAAUAGCUACAAUCCUUGAGAUUGACUAUUAGUGAAGGGGAAAAGCUCACAAAGUAGGGAGGAAUGGUUUGGAGAAGCAUCUGACAAUCAUCUGAGUCUUUGGUCAAGAAACUGGGUUAGGCUUUCCCAUGGGAUACCAGUUCUGGAACUGAUGGAUCCAUUAUCACUUCAAAGUCUUUUCCACAUCAGUGUCUUACAAUACGUGAACAACUGGUCCCCAGUUCAGCAAAGUUCUUAAACACAUGCCUAACUUUAAGCAUCUGAUUAGUUGUAUUCACUUCAAUGGAUAUUAGCAGGGUAAGACUGUAUUUAUCAAGGUCAGAGAAAAGGAUAUUGCAGUAAUUGAGAUGCACAUUUUCAAAUACCUUGCUGAAUCAGGGCCCUAGAACAGGGAUCGGCAACCUUUGGCACGCAG